rnacentral:rRNA from 1 species
UUUGAUCCUGGCUCAGAGCGAACGUUGGCGGCGCGCCUAACACAUGCAAGUCGAGCGCGAAAAGGAUUCGUCCUAAGUAGCGCGGCGCACGGGUGAGUAACACGUGAGUAACCUUCCUUCGGGCUCGGGAUAACACGCCGAAAGGCGUGCUAAUACCGGAUGAGACCACGUAUCCUUCGGGGUGUGUGGGAAAAGACGGGGACCGGAAACGGCCUGUCACCUGAAGUUGGGCUCGCGUCCUAUCAGCUAGUUGGUGAGGUAAUGGCUCACCAAGGCUAAGACGGGUAGCUGGUCUGAGAGGAUGGCCAGCCACACUGGAACUGAGACACGGUCCAGACUCCUACGGGAGGCAGCAGUGGGGAAUUUUGCGCAAUGGGCGAAAGCCUGACGCAGCGACGCCGCGUGUGCGAUGAAGGCCUUUGGGUCGUAAAGCACUGUCGAGUGGGAAGAAAGUCUUGAGGUUAAUACCCUCAAGAUCUGACGGUACCGCUAAAGGAAGCACCGGCUAACUCUGUGCCAGCAGCCGCGGUAAUACAGAGGGUGCAAACGUUGCUCGGAAUCAUUGGGCGUAAAGCGCGUGUAGGCGGCUUGAAAAGUCGACUGUGAAAGCCCUUGGCUCAACCAAGGAAGUGCAGUCGAUACUCUCGAGCUAGGGUGCCGAAGAGGGUGGCGGAAUGCGCAGUGUAGAGGUGAAAUUCGUAGAUAUUGCGUAGAACACCGGUGGCGAAAGGCGGCCACCUGGGAGGUAACUGACGCUGAGACGCGAAAGCGUGGGGAGCAAACAGGAUUAGAUACCCUGGUAGUCCACGCCGUAAACGAUGAGCACUAGUGUUGCGGGUAUUGACCCC